UCCAUGAAGUCGGAAUCGACUAGUAAUCGUGGAUCAGAAUGCCACGGUGAAUACGUUCCCGGGCCUUGUACACACCGCCCGUCACACCAUGGGAGUGGGUUGCAAAAGAAGUAGGUAGCUUAACCUUCGGGAGGGCGCUUACCACUUUGUGAUUCAUGACUGGGGUGAAGUCGUAACAAGGUAACCGUAGGGGAACCUGCGGUUGGAUCACCUCCUUACCUUAAAGAA
rnacentral:rRNA from 1 species